rnacentral:rRNA from 1 species
GUGGGGAAUAUUGCGCAAUGGGGGGAACCCUGACGCAGCCAUGCCGCGUGAAUGAAGAAGGCCUUCGGGUUGUAAAGUUCUUUCGGUGAUGAGGAAGGGAUUGUGGUUAAUACCCACAGUCAUUGACGUUAAUUACAGAAGAAGCACCGGCUAACUCCGUGCCAGCAGCCGCGGUAAUACGGAGGGUGCGAGCGUUAAUCGGAAUAACUGGGCGUAAAGGGCACGCAGGCGGCUAUUUAAGUGAGGUGUGAAAUCCCCGGGCUUAACCUGGGAAUUGCAUUUCAUACUGGGUAGCUAGAGUACUUUAGGGAGGGGUAGAAUUCCACGUGUAGCGGUGAAAUGCGUAGAGAUGUGGAGGAAUACCGAAGGCGAAGGCAGCCCCUUGGGAAUGUACUGACGCUCAUGUGCGAAAGCGUGGGGAGCAAACAGGA